AUACCCAACCGAGUCACAGCUCAUUCCCAUUCAGUCAUGCAAGGCCAAGUCAAGCUUGCAGUUGAUGCCACUCUGUGAACAGAGAAGAAACAUCUGCAAUUAUACGUACUCCUGGGAGAUGACAAACUGAAGAAGGUUUACACCAAGAAGCUAGUAGUUGAUUGAUCCAGCUUUACCAGAGAAGCAUCAGCUUCAUAUCUUGAAUUGUUGGGUCAGAAUAUUAAUGAUAUAUCACCGUUUCUUGUAAGAUAUUCUGUCAAUCUUCAAGUUGAGACCAUUUGUUUGAAGUUCGUGUGGUACUUUUAUUGUGUUAAACAGCCUUAUCAGUGUUUUUGUUGUUGGUGAAAAGGUUAUUUCGCCAUUUUAUUUAUGUGCAAGAGUAGUUUAUGCGUCUUCCAAAAA